rnacentral:rRNA from 1 species
GGCCAGCAGCCGCGGUAAUACGUAGGCCCCGAGCGUUAUCCGGAAUCACUGGGCGUAAAGCGUUCGUAGGCGGAGGGACAAGUCAGGCGUGAAAGCCCGGGGCUCAACCCCGAGGUCGCGUCCGAAACUGUCCCCCUUGGAUCGGGGAGAGGCAAGCGGAAUCGUAAGAGUAGGGGUGCAAUCCGUUGAUACUUACGAGAACACCGAAAGCGAAGGCAGCUUGCUGGAACCGCAUCGACGCUGAGGAACGAAAGCGUGGGGAGCGAAAAGGAUUAGAUACCCUUGUAGUCCACGCCCUAAACGAUGGAUGCUAAGUGUCGGCGCAAGCCGGUGCUUCAAGCUAACGCAUUAAGCAUCCCGCCUGAGAAGUACGGUCGCAAGAUUAAAACUCAAAUGAAUUGACGGGGGCCCGCACA